GAGGUUUGGGAUGGGGCGGCCGGCGGCGGCGGUGGCGACGACGAGCGGGAACGGAGGGCGCGCGGCGGCAGAGAGCCAGCAGGAGCGAGCGCAUGAGACGGCGUAGAGGACGCGGUCGUCUAGCUGCGUCGGCCCGGGCAGGUGGCGCAGAGGGACGGCGGGUCGAGCAGGGGCCGGAGGCGGGUCCAGACAUGAGACUCCCAAUGAAAGUAAACGCAACUUUCGAUACACCCAGUAAACAGUGCCGGUAUCUACGCCGGGGCCUCGACAGCCCAAGUGGCACUGUGUCCACCUCGUCUACUUCCACCUCCGCACUCAUCGGCUGUAGAUGACGCAGGAGAAGCUGCGGCGCGGGUUGCGAUUCAGAAAGUACGAUCUCGACACCACGUUAGUCGUACAGCUCAUAAACUGCUUUCCCGAGCUACGGUUCAUAACGAAGAGGUUACAUUUUAAUUGAGCUCACAGCAGGGACCAAUAAUAAAACGAACUGUCAAAAGUAAGGUCAGCUGGAAUCAAUAAUACGAUAACCUACCAAGUACCUGAGCGCAACGACCUACUUUGCGAACCGCUACUGGAGCUCUUGCUAUAACAUCUGAAGAACAGAGCUACGGUCCUAUCCAAGUUCGGUUCAUCGAUUGUAGGGGAAGAUGGGUUCCAGUUCGUAAGUCGCCGCCGUAGUCUCCUCUGUAGCAGUGCGUCUUCGGGGAAGAGAUCUCUUCGUUUUCGAGACCGGCGGUACCUACGGUUACUCUAAGAGCUGGUUCCAAGUGGACCCGGACGUAGGAGGUUUUUGUUCUACGUAAGUGAAUAGUUCCAAUCGGCCUUCAAUGGUUGAACGAAACAUUUUCAGAACCCUAAAAAUUUCAAACAUCCUUGGGAAAAACUUAUCUGCUUGUAAAAUCUAUAAACGAACGUUCUGGUUUUCUUUUAUACAACUGUUUACUUGGACGAAUACGUCUUACGAAAACUCCUAUAAGUAUGUUUUAAGAAACAGUCACACGAACGAACUGACCCAAUUAUUCUUCUUAGUACGUUGUCAGUUCUUUUACUUGAUAACGGGUACAUGUCUAGUUCACUAAAAUCAGAGGGAAAGCCCUCUUCGGAUUCGGCUUUUAUUGACCGGAACUCAUGAAAAGUAAGCAUACGUAAGGUAUGAGUCCCUUAUUCAGAACGCAUACACACACAUAUGACCUUAACAUUGAGUGACAUCAUUAAGUAUUAAUCAAGGUAGAAAAUGAAACUAUGACGUUUUUAUCCCUCCUUUAUAACACACUCAGUCAUAGAGUUUCUAUUUGUUCCCCUUCUAAAAUUAUACGCCACAGAGUCCGACAACUAAAAAAUCCGAAUAAAACCGGUAUCUAAAUAGGACAAGUAUGCGAAUUUAUUUUAUCAAUUUCAAGUACAGAUACUAAGCAUACUUUUUUAUACCCUACACGAAAACUUAGACGUUAUAAAAGUAGGAUAUCCCAAAUGAAGAAAGUCGAGAACCAACAUACGGACUUGUCUUAUUGGCUUCAAGCUUAAAUACACACCAUUGUUUGAUUUAUACUCUUCAUAAACAGUACAAGAUUCUUUAUCAUAUAACAUUUGCUAGCCCACUUAAAACGUGAAGGUAAAGACCCACACAACAAAGUCCUAAAACCUCGAAGGACAGAUAUAAAGACCUACGGUAAACACCAAAGUUUAUCACCACGAAGAGUUCAACAAAACAAACGUCCAGACCGUUAUAAGUAAACGCGGAUCGAGGAUUGUAUGUACCUAGUUAGUAAAAUAAUAAAACAGUAGAGUACAUGAAGGUGUACUACAAUCUCGAGUAACAGACUUAACAAUAAAUCCACCAUCGAAACACUUUUAUUAUUAUUAAUCUUCGAGUCUUGGCACUCUCUAGCUACCAUAAAGGUUUGAUCUUACCGUUACGAUUCAGAUUUAAAAUGUAAGUUCACCUUUAGUACAACCAUAAACCACGUACUGUUCCACGUUUAAAGGAUUGAAAACGUUCUACCAGACGAACCAAACACGACUAGACGAAUUCAGAAACAAGUUGCUAAUCUAUGCUUCAGAUGAGCGGUCCUCCUCGUACUUAUCAUGUAGCUCUCUCCUUCAUACUCAAGAGGCUUUACUAGUAGAUGUUCGUGUCAUGUAUAAACAACUAACGAUCGUGAUAGAUACAAAGGUAUCGUAACAAAGGUUGACGACAUUGUGGAUAAAAAAUGUUAAAUUCCAUACUUGAUGGACCGAAAUAAAACUUGAAUACAUGACUACAUCUUACUACCGAGGACAAAAAAUGAACGACCAUACUUGACAAAGCAACAUAAAACAUUUCGAGUUCUCAAAUGAAUACUACGAUUGAUUGUAACGAUGUUGUAAACAUAUCUGAUGGAGAUUAUUAAUAGGAAAGGAACGGC
rnacentral:rRNA from 1 species